rnacentral:rRNA from 1 species
AUUGAACGCUGGCGGCAUGCUUUACACAUGCAAGUCGAACGGUAACAGCACUUCGGUGGCUGACGAGUGGCGAACGGGUGAGUAAUACAUCGGAACGUGCCUAGUAGUGGGGGAUAACUACUCGAAAGAGUAGCUAAUACCGCAUGAGAUCUGAGGAUGAAAGCAGGGGACCUUCGGGCCUUUCGCUACUAGAGCGGCUGAUGGCAGAUUAGGUAGUUGGCGGGAUAAAAGCUUACCAAGCCGACGAUCUGUAGCUGGUCUGAGAGGACGACCAGCCACACUGGAACUGAGACACGGCCCAGACUCCUACGGGAGGCAGCAGUGGGGAAUUUUGGACAAUGGGCGCAAGCCUGAUCCAGCAAUGCCGCGUGGAGGAUGAAGGCCUUCGGGUUGUAAACUGCUUUUGUACGGAACGAAAAGCCCUCUGCUAAUACAGGAGGGUCAUGACGGUACCGUAAGAAUAAGCACCGGCUAACUACGUG